AAUUCUCAAACAUUCACAACUUAAUUUACCAUUUUUCUCAUUGCUCAAUUGUUACACAUUUUCACACAAAUUUCAGCAUAAUUUUUUUAUAAAUAUUUUUUCCUUUUUCAAUGCUUUUUCUUUUUCUCUUUUCUUUUCUUUCUCUUUUUUAAAAAAAAAAUCUUUUUCUUUCUCAACCUCAUAGCAAUCAAUUUUUUUCUCCUGAACUUGAAUACAACCAAGUCUUGCAAUGUGAACACUCUAAAACUUUCUAAGGCAAGAUUUAAA
rnacentral:lncRNA from 1 species